rnacentral:rRNA from 1 species
GGAUACAGGAGUGGCAAACGGCUGAGUAACGCGUAUGAACCUACCCAAACUCGAGUAUAGCCCGCGAGAGCGGGGUAAUCCUCGAUAGCCCGUGAAGUAUUUACUUCACGGUAAAGCUUUUGCGGUUUGGGAUGGGCCUGCGUCCUAUCAGGUAGUUGGUGAGGUAAAUGCUCACCAAGCCUAUGACGGGUAGCUGGUCUGAGAGGAUGGUCAGCCAGACUGGGACUGCGACACGGCCCAGACUCCUACGGGAGGCAGCAACUAGGAAUUGUGCGCAAUGGACGAAAGUCUGACGCCGCGACAUCGCGUGGAGGAUGAAGGUCUUCGGAUUGUAAACUCCUUUUCUUACCGAACAAGUUCUGAGUGUAGGUAAGGAAUAAGUGCCUGCUAACCACGUGCCAGAAGCAUCGGUAAUACGUGGGGCACGAGCGUUAUCCGGAUUUACUGGGCGUAAAGAGAAGCGUAGGCGGCUCAAUAAGUUUGGUGUUAAAUCUUCCGGCUCAACCGGAAACAAGCACCGAAAACUAUCGAGAUUGAGUCGAGUAGGGAAGAGGGGAAUUCCUGGUGGAGCGGUUAAAUGCGUAGAUAUCAGGAGGAAUACCAAGGGCGAAGGCACCUCUUUGGACUCGUACUGACGCUGAGGCUCGAAAGCGUGGGUAGCAAAACGGAUUAGAUACCCGUGUAGUCCGCGCCGUAAACGAUCCCUGUUAGAUGU